rnacentral:rRNA from 1 species
CCUUGCCAGCCCGCUCAGAAACUCAAAUGAAUUGACGGGGGCCCGCACAAGCGGUGGAGCAUGUGGUUUAAUUCGAUGAUACGCGAGGAACCUUACCUGGGCUCAAAUGUAUGUUGACGUAUUCUGAAAGGGAUACUUCUUCGGACAAUAUACAAGGUGCUGCAUGGUUGUCGUCAGCUCGUGCCGUGAGGUGUCGGGUUAAGUCCCAUAACGAGCGCAACCCCUAUCAUUAGUUGCCAUCAGGUCAAGCUGGGGACUCUAAUGAAACUGCCUACGCAAGUAGUGAGGAAGGUGGGGAUGACGUCAAAUCAGCACGGCCCUUACGUCCAGGGCUACACACGUGCUACAAUGGCCGGUACAAAGGGCAGCUACCUGGUGACAGGAUGCAAAUCUCCAAAGUCGGUCUCAGUUCGGAUCGGAGUCUGCAACCCGACUCCGUGAAGUUGGAUUCGCUAGUAAUCGUGAAUCAGAAUGUCACGGUGAAUACGUUCCCGGGCCUU